GACGAACGCUGGCGGCGUGCCUAAUACAUGCAAGUCGAGCGAAGUUUUUCUGGUGCUUGCACUAAAAAAACUUAGCGGCGAACGGGUGAGUAACACGUAAAGAACCUGCCUCAUAGACUGGGACAACUAUUGGAAACGAUAGCUAAUACCGGAUAACAGCAUUAACUGCAUGGUUGAUGUUUGAAAGUUGGUUUUGCUAACACUAUGAGAUGGCUUUGCGGUGCAUUAGCUAGUUGGUGGGGUAAAGGCCUACCAAGGCGACGAUGCAUAGCCGACCUGAGAGGGUGAUCGGCCACACUGGGACUGAGACACGGCCCAGACUCCUACGGGAGGCAGCAGUAGGGAAUCUUCCGCAAUGGGCGAAAGCCUGACGGAGCAACGCCGCGUGAGUGAAGAAGGAUUUCGGUUCGUAAAGCUCUGUUGUUAGGGAAGAAUGAUUGUGUAGUAACUAUACACAGUAGGGGACGGUACCUAACCAGAAAGCC
rnacentral:rRNA from 1 species